GUUAAGUAGUAUUGGAAAUAUGGAUGAAACUCCAAUGAAUUUUGAUAUGGUUGGAAAUAAAACUGUCCAUCAAAAAGGUGAAAAAACUAUUUUAAUUAAAACAACAGGACAUGAGAAGUCCAGUUUUACAGUGGUACUAGGAUGCACAGCUGAUGGCGCCAAACUGAGACCAAUGAUUAUUUUUAAAAGAAAAACAAUGCCAAAACUCAAGUUCCCUGUUAGUUGUUUUGUACAUGUGAAUGAAAAAGGCUGGAUGGAUGAAGAAGGGGUAAAGCUAUGGCUUGAUAAUGUAUGGAGCAGGCGACCAGGUGGACUUAUUCAAAAACGUAGUCUACUGGUGUGGGAUAUGUUUAGGGCUCAUUUAACUCCCAGCACCAAGCAAAAGCUUGCAAGACUAAACACAGAUGCGGCAGUUAUUCCUGCAGGAUUGACAUCGUUGGUACAGCCACUGGAUGUGUGCCUAAACAAGCCAUUUAAAGAUCGCAUUCGAGAACAGUGGAAUGAAUGGAUGGUUAGCCGCGAAAAGACAUUCACAUAAGGAGGAACAUGCGUGCUCCACAGUUGGAUGUUUUGUGCAAGUUUGUCAUAAAAGCCUGGAAUGAUAUUGAUGAAGAAACAGUAAUCAAGUCUUUCAAGAAGUGUGGCAUAUCAAAUUCAUUAGAUGGUAUGGAGGACGACUACUUGUGGCAAGAUGAAGAGGAAGCCAAAGCUGAGACCACACCAUCUGAUACAGAAUUCGAUCCAUACGAUGACUGCCUUACAAAUGUAUCACAAGAUGUCAUUGAUGUACUUAUGAUAUCAGAUGACGAACAGGAGGAUUUUGAAGGCUUUUAAAGGGAAACUGUCACACCAGCAAAACCUGUAAAAAUACAGUGGCUUGCAGUUAUGAUGGGCGUUGCUAACUCGCCAG